rnacentral:tRNA from 1 species
GUGGGAAUAGCUCAGUGGUAGAGCAGCAGAUUGCAAAUCUGUUGGUCGUGAGUUCAAACCUCACUUCUCACU